UACGUAGGGUGCAAGCGUUAAUCGGAAUUACUGGGCGUAAAGCGUGCGCAGGCGGUUUUGUAAGUCUGACGUGAAAUCCCCGGGCUCAACCUGGGAAUUGCGUUGGAGACUGCAAGGCUGGAGUCUGGCAGAGGGGGGUAGAAUUCCACGUGUAGCAGUGAAAUGCGUAGAGAUGUGGAGGAACACCGAUGGCGAAGGCAGCCCCCUGGGCUAGCACUGACGCUCAGGCACGAAAGCGUGGGGAGCAAACAGG
rnacentral:rRNA from 1 species